UGUAGAGGAUUCCAUACUAGCUUCCGUGCCACGCAGAGUGGACUUUCACUUAAUAUUGAUAUGAUUUAUCAUCUAAAUGUCCAGAUCCAUGCUAUACUGUGAUCAGUUCUUUGUAUGCAGUUGGUAAUAUUUACAUGUAUUAUUUGGUUUAUGCAGCCGUGUCCACAACAAUGAUAGUGAAACCUGGUCCUGUUAUUGAUUUUCUACUUGCCAAUCAGAAGGUUGAUCAUCCAAACAAGAUUGACUGGGCCAAGGUUAAGCGUGCACUGAAGAAUUUAAAGAUAAGACAAGCCCUGCAAAUACAGAAUAUAACAUUGUUGGUUUGAGCGACAGGAGUUGCUCUGAACAGAUGUAAGUAGCAUGAUGAUAUGUUGAAAUAUUCUUAAUUUAUGUUUUUUGUCAUCCUUCUUUGCAGUUUCUUUUUCUUUACUUAUGUCGACAUUUUUCACUUUUUUAUUAAGUACUUGGUGAUUCCAUGCUCGUAGUUUCAAACUAAAGAACAGAAAUGGUGAAAAUGGUGACCCUGAAACAACAGAGUUAACUGUUUAUGAUUAAUUUGUCAAGAACUGUGGCAUAGAGUUGAGAUACCCUGGUGAUUUUCCCUGUAUUAACGUGGGGAAGCCAAAGCGGCUGACAUAUUUCCUUGUCGAGGUCAUUACUAUUGAAAUCCCCAUGGGCGUGGCACAGUUUGCCGUGCCCACGAUGUGUUCGAUGAAAUGCCCGACUGGGACUGCCACGCCCACGAUAUGUUCGAUGAAGUGCCCGAUUGGAACGUUCUGGCUUGGACGACCAUGCUCUCCGGCUGCGCUUCCAGUGGCCGCCACCGUGACGCGCAGGACGUCUUCCAACGUAUCGCCGCGGCAGGCAUCGGUGUCAAUGAGUUCACGCUGGUCAGCAAACUUGCAUUACAGGCAGGUGGUCGUCAGGGCUAGGAACCUGAGGACCAAUGCGCAGUUCAUCCUGGCUAAGGUCUUCAAGGCAUGCAAGGUUUAUUAUACCAACAAGCUUUAAGCAAAGUUAUACUCCUGAUCACUUGGACUGAUUCAAGCAUCCCCCCCCCCCUCCACCUAAAGGUGAUUCACUAUAGCGUGCAAGAAAGCUUAGAAGAAUACAUACAGGAAACUGGUUGUGCUGGGAGCGAUGGGCGGUUGUCACAUUGUCAUCUACUUUUUUAUCCAAAAACAUUCUAUAAGAUCCAUAGUUUUGCACACAGGUGAACAUUUUCUUCUGAUUUCUGCGUUCAAUCUGCAACAGUUGUAUCUAGCAUUCUUUUUUUUUUUUUUACAAUGACGGUGUUGAUGAAUAUGCCGUGAGUAAAUUUCUGUAAUAAGUAUUUUCCUGUUACAAUUCAAUGGGAUGCAUUUGUUCCUUGGUUAAAGAGUCGACUUCAUGCAAGAUCAAUGUAAAAGAAAAGGUUUGUACCUGCCUCAUCAAUCAGCCGAAUACACAUGGUUUCUUUUUUUUCAUGCGCUCAUGCUAUAUUUCAGGUAGUUUGUAGUUUCAAAUUGUGCUUUAUUUAUUUAACAAUAUCUACACCUAUUACUGCCAUUGGGAUGAACUUUCUCUCUAUUCUUUUUCUGUACAAAAAAAACUUGUAUUGUCAAUGUGUUCUUUUUUCUUUAAAAAAAACUCGGAUAUAGUGACAGGAAAUAAAGCAGAAUAUUUUCAGAGUUUAUCAUAGAAAUAUAUAUACAUAUACACAUAAUAUCUAAGGAUAUAUUUACUUUACAGUUUUAAGAGGCUGGUUAUACAUGUUUAUUUGCACUCCAUUUCUUGAAAAUAAGUGCACUAAUUCUAUUUACUAAUAUCUUCUAUUUGUACACAUGAAAAUAUUAUAGUACCAUAGAUAGCUACGUAUUUGGUUCUGCUAAAACUUAUAUUUGAUAAUGCAUGGGUACCACCACAAGAACAUUUCAAGUGUAAGUAGUUUCUUACAAGCACAACUCUCAGCCAAGCUUGCAAUAGCUCAAUUUUGUCAAAUGUAACAUUUAUCAUGUUGGAAUACCUUCAACGCCCCUUGAAUGUCAUGUCAUCAUGCUCAAGGUGUUAUUCCUACAACAUUCCUCUGACAUGCGUUUUGGAACUGCAGUGUUAAUACAGUUCCUUGCUGCCAUAACCUUCCAAUGUGCAAUUUUGAAUCAAUUUGCAUUCACUGACCACUCUCACCAUAUAAUAUGUGAACUGGUCGAACUGAAGCUUGACCAUUUACAUGUGUACUUUCAAUAUCUCCUGGAACGCUCGCGAGCUGACGAUGACGAGGGGCUCCUCAACCAGGGCCUUGUCGGAGAGUUGCCUCCCCGACGGCUCCAACGGUUCCGAUGGCUCUGCGCCGCCAAUGUUGCCAGCGUAGUUAGGUGUAUGGAUGCGACAUGACGGUCGACGGCAAGGUGGUGAAGGGCAAGUGGAGGCUUGGUACCGACGGACCGUACCAGACCGGGUGGAGCCAUGGGCGAGCCGCAUCGCUCACAUGGAGGGCACAAGAAAACAUGGUGGGAAGAGAAGGUGAUGAAGAUGGUGUCGACCAAGUCAAGAUGAAAAGGCGAUGGCAAGUCGAGAGACGGCCCAGUUGUAACACCCCGGGGACAA